UGAACAUAAUUGCUACAUGAUUAAAAAAUAAUAACCAUGUAUGAUAUCAUAAUUAGAGUCCCUUUAUACUCUUUGUUAAUCAGCUCUAUUAUUAAUCAAAAUUGGCAUUUUUAAAAUUUGUAAGCUAUUUUCUAAUGUAUAUGUGACUUAGAGAGCAAGUUGUUUUGUUUGCUAAUUGCAGAUGGUCCUUAAAGGUAGAUGAAGUCUACUUGGUAGACUUUGUUGACUGUUAGUUCUUAUGUAUCCUGAUAUUUUAAACUGAAAUAUUAAAAGCUGCAGUAGUCCUUUAUUUCCUAGGUUGAAUUCCUUGUGUUUUAGUUACUAUAACUCUCUUAUGUUUUAGUUUUUAUUUGAUCUAUGUUAAACUACUUUUCAAGGAAUUAAGUUUUAUUUUUAUAUAAAAUCAUAUUUAAUGGGCAUUAGGUAUAUGUUUCCUUUUAUCUGAUUACUAUAUCAUUGCACAUUCAUUACAGUUUUGUAUGCAAAGAAGUUGGCUAUUUUGCUGGCUCAGUAGAUACAUCAGGAAACUCCAAAGGAAAAGAUUUUCAGCACUGUGUGAAAUAUGAUCUGCAACCAUGCAAGCUGUUGGUAUUCAAAUCCCAUCACAUUGGUAACUCAAGCCGAAAUUGGAGGACAAGUCACAGUAAGACCAUGUUGGAAGACAAAAUGCUUGCCAGGAUGGGAGCUGGUUGGUGGAGCAUUUGAUUUGGAGACAAACUUUAUUAUCCAGGAUGCUGAGAGUAUAACAUGCAUAACAGAGUUUUUUGGGGCACUGUGGUGUAACAUGCCAAGCAGAAAUAUGGAGCAAGUUUGCAGCCAUUGUAUGAAUAAGUGCUUGGAAUUUACAGACUAG
rnacentral:lncRNA from 1 species